rnacentral:lncRNA from 1 species
GCCUACGUUAUAAUCGUAACGUACACAUAGCACUUAAGUAAAAUUUGUAGAAUUGCGCCCCUGGACACUCAUUGAUGUAGAACGCUCGAAGCUUAGGUAUAUCAGAAUUCUUUUAGAGAGUGUAUCUGCAGAAACAUGCAAGUGCCAGCGCUGAUCCAUACGGUUGAAAACCAGAUUACUUGUUGCAAUGCUGAGAUAAGGAAUUAAGCUUUGAAAUAUUCCACUCUCAAUUAAUAAAAGGAAACUGUUACCAAAAUUAGUUGAGUUUGAUUCAUAUUAUGCUUUAAGCAUUUGCUAUUAAUUUCAUUUGUAAUAAUUUAAAUAAUUUUGCAAUGGGGUGUCAAAUUAGAUGUGAACGGUGGCUGGUCCAAGCGAUCUGUAAACUAUGUAAACAUGAUUGCUAGGUAGGUUGGUUCCGAGUCUAAUAGUAAUACCUACCUUUACUUAACACAUUAGUAGUGCACUAAACUGUUAGUGCUCUGUUGUCAUCGAGAUUAAAUGUAAUUCCCCUAGUAGUACAAUUUUUAGAAUAGUUAACGAUUCAACAUGAGUAGGUAAACGAGAUAUCUUUUCCGUCAGGAGAGCUGCGUUUCGACCGUUUAAGUUUUAAACAUUGUAUAAUAAGUAUACUGGCACCUAGACACGUUGAAAAGCAGAUUGGAAAUACAAAGGUAUUUCAUUUGUAGACACAAUUUACCACUUAGGUACAACCGUAUAAAUUAUUGUGUUAUGUUGUUAUCAAUAAAAAAAAACUUCUGAACUAUAAUUCUACUUUUAGUCAUUAUGUAUGUGUAGGUACUGGCAGAAAUCUGCUAGUUCACGGGCCCACUGCGGAAGUCAACCGGGUACGUACGUUUGUGUGAUCAUAAUUACUAUGUAUUUAUGUACAUGUUUGAAAAACUAGAGAUCGUACGGCAGUACUAAAUAGUAGAACUAUUAUAUUUGUAUUCGUAAAGCUUUGCGAGGCACGUUCCACUGUUGCUAACAGUAAGGUCCGUGAGAAAUCGUAAAGUUGCGCGAAACUAUUAAAUAGUAGAACUAUUAUAUUUAUAUUCGUAAAGCUUUGCGAGGCACGUUCCACUGUUGCUAACAGUAAGGUCCGUGAGAAAUCGUAAAGUUGCGCGAAAGUAUUAAAUAGUAGAACUAUUAUAUUUAUAUUCGUAAAGCUUUGCGAGGCACGUUCCACUGUUGCUAACAGUAAGGUCCGUGAGAAAUCGUAAAGUUGCGCGAAAGUAUUAAAUAGUAGAACUAUUAUAUUUAUAUUCGUAAAGCUUCGCGAGGCACGUUCCACUGUUGCUAACAGUAAGGUCCGUGAGAAAUCGUAAGGUUGCGCGAAAGUAUUAGAUAGUAGAACUAUCAUAUGUACCUAUAGACCUAUAUGCGUGAGAGGCGAGAACUUGUACAGCUUUACGAGGUGCGACCAGCAAGGUUCGCGAGGAUUCGUAUAUGUUGUGUGCAAGUCUUGUACAGCUUUACGAGGUGCGACCAGCAAGGUUCGCGAGGAUUCGUAUAUGUUGUGUGCAAGUCUUGUACAGCUUUACGAGGUGCGACCAGCAAGGUUCGCGAGGAUUCGUAUAUGUUGUGUGCAAGUCUUGUACAGCUUUACGAGGUGCGACCAGCAAGGUUCGCGAGGAUUCGUAUAUGUUGUGUGCAAGUCUUGUACAGCUUUACGAGGUGUGAACAGCUAGGUUCGCGAGGAUUCGUAUAUGUUGUGUGCAAGUCUUGUACAGCUUUACGAGGUGUGAACAGCUAGGUUCGCGAGGAUUCGUAUAUGUUGUGUGCAAGUCUUGUACAGCUUUACGAGGUGUGAACAGCUAGGUUCGCGAGGAUUCGUAUAUGUUGUGUGCAAGUAUAAAAUGGCAGGGCCUGGCAUGGACUUGAAAGUCACGUUCCACUGUCGUGGAGUCCUUGAGUAACACUCAAAGGUUUGCUUUAAACGGCGCGGCGGUAACUUGUUGGUAAGGUUAUGGAAAGUGGUAAUGGUAAGGUAAUGUGUGAGUAAAAGGUAAAGGUAAUAAUUUCCAUAAAUCGUCAGUGUAAAACGAUUCGACUGUAGUGACAUUUCAAAGUUGUCCGGUUGUUUAUAAAACACUAGCAAACGCUACGCUAGUAAAAUGCACGUAGAAGUCAU